GGAAUAUCAAGACAAAAAUGAAAGCUGCUAACUUAUCAUUAUAGCGGUUAAAAUCCGUUUAUAUUCCU
rnacentral:tRNA from 1 species